CAUUGAAACUCCGGUUCCUAUACGACCACCAGAGUUAAGCCAUGUCAAGCCUGGUUGGCACCUAGAUGGGUGACUGCUUGGGAAUACCAGGUGCUGUAAG